UUAAAACACCAGUCCCUUUAUGAUCCCUGAAGUUAAGCAAUGUUGAUCCUGAUGAGUACCUACAUGGGUGACUGCUUAGGAAUACCAGGUGCUGAAA